rnacentral:sRNA from 1 species
CCUGCCUCGUGUUUGAGCUGUGGAUUCCAAAGGAUGUUUGUGCACUACCCUUUCUGAGUCAUACCUUUGCUCCUGGCUCUGGAAUUCCAUUUUAGCUGUUCCGCUGCAUCCGCAGCGUCAGGGAAAUGGUUUGGAGGUGGAGUCGCGAGCCGCGACUCAGACUCGAUUUCAAUCAUGACGACUAAAUGGAUUUCGGAAUGAAAACUGCGAUUCCGAUUCUGUGCCAGUUUUCCAAAUACGUGUGCUUCUUGAACAUGCCAGAACACCCGGCAUUUUCCUAACCCCUUAGAACUAUGUGGACAUAGAGAGGUUAUGACUCCUUGUCGUGGAGGCAAAUCAAGAGUCUGAUACUCACUUUUGGAACUGAAUAUCCCAUGAACAGAAACACAUGCAGUUUUGGAUGCUAAAACAUCCUAAUGACGUUCCUGCGAUGAAAAAUAGUCAUGAAAAGUCAUAAGUCAGCCAAAAUCUCUUUCCUAUGAUAGCUUGGUUGGAAGACACGUGUCUUUGCUCCCCAGUCUUGAUGCUAGAAUCACGG